rnacentral:rRNA from 1 species
GACGAACGCUGGCGGCGCGCUUAACACAUGCAAGUCGAACGGAAAGGCCUGCUUUCCCUUGUGGAUUGCGGGUACUCGAGUGGCGAACGGGUGAGUAACACGUGAGUGAUCUGCCCCCAACUUGGGUAUAAGCCUGGGAAACUGGGUCUAAUUCCCGAUAGGACUGCAGGGUGGUGCCUGUGGUGGAAAACGAUUUUCUAGUGGUUGGGGAUGAGCUCGCGGCCUAUCAGCUUGUUGGUGGGGUAAUGGCCUACCAAGGCGGCGACGGGUAGCCGGCCUGGGAGGGUGGACGGCCACAUUGGGACUGGGAUACGGCCCAGACUCCUACGGGAGGCAGCAGUGGGGAAUAUUGCACAAUGGGCGGAAGCCUGAUGCAGCGACGCCGCGUGGGGGAUGACGGCCUUCGGGUUGUAAACUCCUUUCGACCGCGAGGAAGCCACCUGGUUGGAAGGGUGGUGACGUUAGUGGUAGAAGAAGCACCGGCUAACUACGUG